rnacentral:rRNA from 1 species
UGGGGAAUAUUGCACAAUGGGCGAAAGCCUGAUGCAGCGACGCCGCGUGAGGGAUGACGGCCUUCGGGUUGUAAACCUCUUUCAGCAGUGACGAAGCGCAAGUGACGGUACCUGCAGAAGAAGCACCGGCUAACUACGUGCCAGCAGCCGCGGUAAUACGUAGGGUGCAAGCGUUGUCCGGAAUUACUGGGCGUAAAGAGUUCGUAGGCGGUUUGUCGCGUCGUUUGUGAAAACCAGCAGCUCAACUGCUGGCUUGCAGGCGAUACGGGCAGACUUGAGUACUGCAGGGGAGACUGGAAUUCCUGGUGUAGCGGUGAAAUGCGCAGAUAUCAGGAGGAACACCGGUGGCGAAGGCGGGUCUCUGGGCAGUAACUGACGCUGAGGAACGAAAGCGUGGGUAGCGAACAGG